UGCAGAGCAUAGUAUAGGCAUCAACCUAGUAGUACGGAAUAAUUGUUGGAAACGGCAACUAAUACCGUAUACGCCCUACGGGGGAAAAAUUUAUUGCUAUUAGAUGAGCCUAUAUUAGAUUAGCUAGUUGGUGGAGUAAUAGCCUACCAAGGCAAUGAUCUAUAGCUGAUCUGAGAGGAUGAUCAGCCACACUGGAACUGAGAUACGGUCCAGACUCCUACGGGAGGCAGCAGUGGGGAAUAUUGGACAAUGGGCGAAAGCCUGAUCCAGCCAUGCCGCAUGAGUGAAGAAGGCCUUUGGGUUGUAAAGCUCUUUUAGUGAGGAAGAUAAUGACGGUACUCACAGAAGAAGUCCUGGCUAACUCCGUGCCAGCAGCCGCGGUAAUACGGAGAGGGCUAGCGUUAUUCGGAAUUAUUGGGCGUAAAGGGCGCGUAGGCUGGUUAGUAAGUUAAAAGUGAAAUCCCGAGGCUUAACCUUGGAACUGCUUUUAAAACUGCUAACCUAGAGAUUGAAAGAGGAUAGAGGAAUUCCUAGUGUAGAGGUGGAAUUCGUAAAUAUUAGGAGGAACACCAGUGGCGAAGGCGUCUGUCUGGUUCAAAUCUGACGCUGAGGCGCGAAGGCGUGGGGAGCAAACAGGAUUAGAUACCCUGGUAGUCCACGCUGUAAACGAUGAAUGUUAAAUAUGGGAAGUUUACUUUCUGUAUUACAGCUAACGCGUUAAACAUUCCGCCUGGGGACUACGGUCGCAAGAUUAAAACUCAAAGGAAUUGACGGGGACCCGCACAAGCGGUGGAGCAUGUGGUUUAAUUCGAUGCAACGCGAAAAACCUUACCACUCCUUGACAUGAAAAUCNAUCCCUAUUUCAA
rnacentral:rRNA from 1 species